rnacentral:rRNA from 1 species
GUAGGUGGCAAGCGUUGUCCGGAAUUAUUGGGCGUAAAGCGCGCGCAGGUGGUUCUUUAAGUCUGAUGUGAAAGCCCCCGGCUCAACCGGGGAGGGUCAUUGGAAACUGGGGAACUUGAGUGCAGGAGAGGAAAGUGGAAUUCCACGUGUAGCGGUGAAAUGCGUAGAUAUGUGGAGGAACACCAGUGGCGAAGGCGACUUUCUGGCCUGUAACUGACACUGAGGCGCGAAAGCGUGGGGAGCAGACAGGGAUUAGAUACCCUGGUAGUCCACGCCGUAAACGAUGAGUGCUAAGUGUUGGGGGGGGUUUCCGCCCCCUCAGUGCUGCAGCUAACGCAUUAAGCACUCCGCCCUGGGAGUACGGUCGCAAGACUG